rnacentral:rRNA from 1 species
UAGGGAAUAUUAGAAAUGGACGAAAGUCUGAUCUAGCAACACCGCGUGUGCGAGGAAGGCCUUCGGGUCGUAAAGCACUUUUUGGAAGGAAUAGGAAGGAAUGUACUUCCAGAAUAAGUCUCGGCUAACUACGUGCCAGCAGCCGCGGUAACACGUAGGAGGCAAACGUUAUCCGGAUUUACUGGGCGUAAAGCGCGUGUAGGUGGUUCUGUAAGUAGGGCGUGAAAGCUCCUGGCUCAGCUGGGAGAUGCCGUUCUAAACUGCAGAGCUAGAGGAUGGUAGAGGGUGGUGGAAUUCCGGGUGUAGCCGUGGAAUGCGCAGAUAUCCGGAGGAACACCAGUGGCGAAAGCGGCCUCCUGGACCAUUCCUGACACUCAGACGCGAAAGCUAGGGUAGCAAACG